rnacentral:piRNA from 1 species
UGGAAGAGAAAAACUGUAUAAGCCUAUUGAGU